rnacentral:lncRNA from 1 species
CCCUUACUUCUUUCUUGUCUUUAAAAGCUAUUAUCUUUUUCUUUUUAUUUUUUGAGGAAAACCUAUAAGCUAUAGUCAUUUCUUGAUUUUGCCCAUAACUCUCCUGAUUUGGUGCCAUAAUCUCAUUCUCCCUUGAAAUUUCUUCCGUGAGCAUAUCAUAACGAUUAGUUAAAUUCCCUUAAAAAUAUAACCUUUCUUCUUGGUUUUCCUCCCUAAACCACGCCAAGG